GGAAGCGUGGCUGAGUGGUUGAAGGCACCGGUCUUGAAAACCGGAAGGUCCGCAAGGGCUUCGGAGGUUCGAAUCCUCCCGCUUCCG
rnacentral:tRNA from 1 species